rnacentral:rRNA from 1 species
GCGAACGGAGGAUGCCUAGGCUUCCGGAGGCGAGGAAGGACGCGGCAAGCUGCGAAAAUCUGCGGGGAUCAGCAAGCAUGAAAUGAUCCGCAGGAGUCCGAAUGGGGCAACCCGUGCAGGUGAAGCCUGCACACCCGGCGUUAUAGUCGGGGGCAAACGUGGGGAACUGAAACAUCUUAGUACCCGCAGGAAGAGGAAGAAAAGAUCGAUAUCCUGAGUAGUGGCGAGCGAAAGGGACAGAGCCUAAACCCGGACGGUCACGGCCGUGUGGGGGUUGUAGGAGCGCUACAUAAACGCAUUUGAGCGAACCGGAAGUGUCUGGAAAGUCACUGCGGAGAGGGUGAAACACCCGUACGGGCAAGCGAGAGGAUGCGGUAAGCGCCACCUGAGUAGGGCGGGACACGAGGAAUCCUGUCUGAAUCAUCGGGGACCAUCCCGAAAGGCUAAACACUUCCGGAAGACCGAUAGUGGACCAGUACCGUGAGGGAAAGGUGGGAAGCACCCCUGGAAGGGGAGUGAAACAGAACCUGAAACCGUUCGUUUACAAGCGGUCGGAGCCCAGCGAUGGGCGACGGCGUGCCUUUUGCAUAAUGAGCCUACGAGUUGUACCAUGCGUGCGAGGUUAAGCGCCUAAGGCGCGGAGCCGAAGCGAGAGCGAGUCUGAAGAGGGCAUAUAGUACGUAUGGACAGACGCGAAACCUAGUGAUCUACCCUUGUCCAGGCCGAAGUCGCCGUAACAGGCGAUGGAGGGCCGAACCAGUUUCCGUUGAAAAGGGCUUGGAUGAGAUGAGGGUAGGAGUGAAAGGCCAAUCAAACUGGGAGAUAGCUCGUACUCCCCGAAAUGUCUUUAGGGACAGCCUCGUCGUUAACCUGUGGCAGGUAGAGACACUGGUGUGGAGAGAGGGCUUCGCCGCCUGUCAAUCCACGUCAAACUCCGAAUGGCCAUAGGCGUACUAGACGGGAGUGAGUCGUCGGGUGCUAAUAUCCGUCGGCGAGAGGGUAAGAGCCCAGACCCACGGCUAAGGCCCCCAAGCGCAGUUUAAGUUGAGAGAGAACGAAGUGACACCGCACAGACAGCUAGGAUGUUAGCUUGGAAGCAGCUAUUCAUUCAAAGAGUGCGUAACAGCUCACUAGUCGAGUGGUGACGCAUGGAUGAUGCACGGGCAUCAAGACUGCCGCCGAAGCCAGGGACUCAUCCUAUAGGUAGGAUGAGUGGUAGGGGAGCAUUGCGAACAGCGUAGAAGGCAGAUUGCGAGAUCUGCUGGAGCGUUCGGAAAAGAAAAUGUAGGCAUAAGUAACGAUAACGGGGGUAGAAACCCCCGCACCGAAAACCCAAGGGUUCCCGGGCCACGCUAAACGGCCCGGGUUAAGCCGGGAGCUAAGCCGAACCCGAGAGGGGCAGGCGAUGACGAAGCGGUUAAUAUUCCGCUGCCCGUCGUCCAGGCGAGGGUGUGACCGGGAGAUGACACUGCCGCGCGGAGACGGAAAUCCGCGUUGAAGGCCGUAGCGCGCAAGCGCGAGAGCCGACAGUACCGAGCGUCCACGGACAAUCGGACAGAGCAGGUAAGAGCCCGCAAGAAAAGCGCCCGAGCGACAAGCGGACGUCGGCCCGUACCGUAAACCGACACAGGUGGGAGAGGAGAGAAUCCUCAGGUGCUCGAGUGAAUCACGGCUAAGGAACUAGGCAAACUGACCCCGUAACUUCGGGAGAAGGGGUCCCGCAUGUAAAUGCGGGCGCAGAGAAAUGGCCCAGGCGACUGUUUAGCAAAAACACAAGGCUAUGCGAAAUCGUUAAGAUGACGAAUAUGGUCUGACACCUGCCCGGUGCCGGAAGGUUAAGGGGGGGACUGAGGAUGGAAGCGAUGAAGUCCGAAGGUCUGAACUGAAGCCCCGGUAAACGGCGGCCGUAACUAUAACGGUCCUAAGGUAGCGAAAUUCCUUGUCGGGUAAGUUCCGACCUGCACGAAUGGUGUAACGAUCUG